CAGCCGCCGCGGUAAUACGAAGGGUGCAAGCGUUACUCGGAAUUACUGGGCGUAAAGCGUGCGUAGGUGGUGGUUUAAGUCCGUUGUGAAAGCCCUGGGCUCAACCUGGGAAUUGCAGUGGAUACUGGGUCACUAGAGUGUGGUAGAGGAUAGUGGAAUUUCCGGUGUAGCAGUGAAAUGCGUAGAGAUCGGAAGGAACAUCUGUGGCGAAGGCGACUAUCUGGGCCAACACUGACACUGAGGCACGAAAGCGUGGGGAGCAAACAGGAUUAGAUACCCCGUAGUCCCUGUCUCUUAUACA
rnacentral:rRNA from 1 species